UCUAGAAGAGAGGGUGGAGAGGGGGAGAAGCAUGUUUUCUCGGAGGUUGAAGAAAGAUCCGAGGGCGGUUCAUGUUGGAGACUCUUCUCUGAUUCUGCAUCUGGAGAUGGAGAUGUAGUUAUGGUAUGUUUGGUUGCCGAGAAACGCAUGGAAAGGGAAGCAUCUUUGGGGAAUAUUCCCUUUUGCAUGCAUUUGUUUAAGGAAGCCCUGGGAAAGGAGGAGAAAAAACUGGGUCGCGAGUUCCCAAUAAUCAAUAGGUGAGGUCUCCCCGCUGAGAAAGGCAAAUCGUGAGAAAGUAUUGUCAAGAGGGACCUACCAGACUUCAUCUCCUUCCUUCCAGCCGUCCAAUGGUAACAUCUCCUGCACCGUCUCUGGCAUUUUUGUCUUCAAGUCAUCUCAAACAACAAAACAUUGUAUUUUGGCUUGAGGAAUUUAUCCAAGGAGACCAGUUUAGAGAAAAGAAAGCAAAAAACCAAGAAAAAUGAGCUAAAUUGGAGGUUAUUCAGCCCAGUUGGAACAAAAACCCAGCUGAGAGGUCAAAGGUUGGCCAUUCGGCCCAUGAAGCCCAUGCUGCACUCUUUGGAAGAGCCCAAAGAGAGAGCCCAGCCGCAGCCUUCCAAGGGAGCCUAUUCAGCCCAGCAAGGAGGAGGCCCAUUUGUAGCUCAAGAGCAGCCCAAAGUGCAGCCAAAAGAAGCUAAGGGCGGCAACUUCUAGAAUUCUUGAAGAGAUGAAGGAAAAACUAUUUAAGGAGAAUUAUUGGAGGGAAAACUCUCUUCUGCUGGGGGUCCAAACAUUUUGAAAUUUAGCCCUUCGGGAGAUUCAAACCUUGAGUUCAAAUCUUGGAGGGAGAAGAGAGAGAUAGACGCAAGAGAUGAGAAGAAAGGAGAUUCAAGCAACUUCAAGAGAAGAAGAAGCUUAAUUCAAAAGGAGAAGAAGCCAUUGGAGAUUUAGGUUGUCUCUUCUUUGAAUUCUGCGCAUUUGGUAAUUAACAACAACUAGGGUUUCAAGUUGAAUUCUCCAUUAAUUUUCCUUCCUUGCUGUAAUUGGAGCAUGAAUUUUGUAAUUUCAGAUUUGUGAUUAGUUUUUUAUGUAUACUCGAAUGGAGUAGAUGCAAUCUUGAUGAUUCUUGAUUAGGAAUUUGACUGUAGAAUUGUUAGCCGAAUUGCUGUUUUGUAAUCUCAGAUCUGUAAUUUCAGAUCAUGAAAUUGUAAUGUCUGAAUUACUUGAGAGAGAAUUCAGACAACAUUAACUCUGUUUGGCCAAACUGUUCCUCAUUCUUGGAAAUCCUAAAGUG